rnacentral:rRNA from 1 species
UACGUAGGGGGCAAGCGUUGUCCGGAUUUAUUGGGCGUAAAGAGCGUGUAGGCGGCUGGGUAGGUCCGUUGUGAAAACUCGAGGCUCAACCUCGAGACGCCGAUGGAAACCCUCCAGCUAGAGUCCGGAAGAGGAGAGUGGAAUUCCUGGUGUAGCGGUGGAAUGCGCAGAUAUCAGGAGGAACACCAAUAGCGAAGGCAGCUCGCUGGGACGUUACUGACACUGAGGCGCGAAAGCGUGGGGAGCAAACAGG